AGCAGAGCUCAGAGCAGACCAAACGCCAAUGCAGAAGGCUCAAGAAAGAGGCAAACAGACUAGCCACUGCUCCAGGAUGACUGUGGCUCUUUAUGAGUGAAGAGAAAGGGUGGAGACUGAAGACAGAACUGGGGACAGUGACAGGCUUGGGGAAGAACAGCUGAUUCAGCAGUCCCAAGCAUCUGAACACAAGGUGGACAUUCUCCAGGGUGACAUCGCAAAAUACAUGGGUGAAGACAACCUAGUGGCCGUGACUUGGAGCACCCUUCCUCACAAUGAAGGCAUUCUGGGCCAGCCUGAAAAACAGCAUGGAAAUAAAUCACCUAAGUACAAGGGACUGGCUUAAAAAUGGUCUAAUGAAAUGUCAAAAGAGUUCUCCUGUGGAGCUUCGGAGAAGUUUCCUUACCCUUUAAAAAAAGAAAAGAAGAAAAGGAAAAGGUGAUGAUGAUGACACACAGAAGGCAUACACAUUUCCAUUUCUCCCUUUGGAAACUUUCAUGUCUGGGUUGAGAAGUUAACAGAAAGGCAAACAGCCUGAGGUCAAAGAUGACACACUGAGGAUAACAAAAUGGAAAGACAAUCUGAGCUCUUGAUGAUGUGUGACUGAAUGAGCCAAAUUAAACAACUAUAGAGCUGUUCUACUUCCAAUCUAAUUAUGUGAGGGAUAAAUGUUAAUGCGCUUUUUCUUUAGGUUUUCAUUUAGAUUUUGUAGUUUCUACGGUACAAAUCUUAUAUUCUUUUAUUGAAUUUCUUAAACAAAAUGUUCUUUUCAGACUAUAUAAGUGGAAUUGUUUUCUUAAUUUCAUUUUCAGAUUGUUUGUUUCCAGUGUACAGAAAUU
rnacentral:lncRNA from 1 species